UGAACGCUGGCGGCGUGCUUAACACAUGCAAGUCGAACGAACCUUCGGGUUAGUGGCGGACGGGUGAGUAACGCGUGGGAAUCUGCCCUCAGGAGGGGGAUAACGGUUGGAAACGGCCGCUAAUACCCCAUAUGCCGAGAGGUGAAAUGAAUUUCGCCUGAGGAUGAGCCCGCGUCUGAUUAGCUAGUUGGUGAGGUAAGAGCUCACCAAGGCAUCGAUCAGUAGCUGGUCUGAGAGGAUGAUCAGCCACACUGGGACUGAGACACGGCCCAGACUCCUACGGGAGGCAGCAGUGGGGAAUUUUCCGCAAUGGGCGAAAGCCUGACGGAGCAACGCCGCGUGAGGGAUGAAGGCCUCUGGGCUGUAAACCUCUUUUAUCAAGGAAGAAGAUCUGACGGUACUUGAUGAAUAAGCCACGG
rnacentral:rRNA from 1 species